UCCUGAUAGGCCUACCCAGUCUCUCAGCCUCUCCAGUAGCAGGUGAUGGUCAACAGUGUCAAAGGCUGCAGUCAGGUCCAGCAGGACCAGAACAGAACAGUCCCCUGCAUCACUGUGAGUCAGAAGAUCAUUAGAGACCCUAAGAAGAGCUGUUUCAGUAGAAUGAGCUCUACGAAAACCUGACUGGAAGCUAUCAUAGAUGUUAUGUUCAUCAAGAGCAGUUGUGAGUUGUUUAGCCACAACCUUUUCCAAGAUCUUGGAGAUGAACGGAAGUUUAGAGAUGGGUCUGAAGCUGCCCAUCUCUUAUAGGAUAUAAGCUGAUCACAGAUUAAUCUAAAUAUCUCCUGGAGGACUCCAAAUUGCACCAACGUUGUCUGGGGAGUAAAUGGACGUUUUCCAUGUUAAAAAUUAGGUCCAGGUUGCAAAUAAACAAUAUUUGCCCUUUAUGAUUGUUUGAGAUUGAAAUGAUAAUGAAUCAGAUUUUUAGCAUUUUGUCCUCUCUUGUCCAGGUCAAUGCAGAGUUUCACAGGAUCACGACAAUGAACCUUGAGCCAAAAUUCAUGUCAACGUUGGACUUGUGUUCUUCCAAACUGAUGUCCUAGUUCCAAGGCAAGAAGGGUGCUGCUGGACAACGCCAUAGGGCAUAAUUACAUGCUUCAGGAGUAUGCUGAUGCUGUCAGUGUUGAAGAGGCUUUGACCGAGGAGGUGAUGAAGAUUUACCGGUACCUGCUGCAGAUCCAAGACAGCUCAGUCGAACCUACUGAUGUGGGUAAUGUUGAGGGCAUCACUGUUCUGGGCAAACUCGGGAAUCUCAGCAAAGCCUGUUGCUGUCUGUUGGGACUGUCCUAUGCUUUCGAUCUGAAAUACCCCAAGAAUCUCAAAUACACAUUUGAGGUAUUUCAAAAAGUGUUCCUGGAGCUGGAUCCAGGAAACCUUUCUGUCAAGGUUCAAAGACUGAAAAAUUACCUCUGUGCACUGUAGACACCAUUUCCCAUAGCUGUUCCUAAAGUAUUGGACUGGUUAGAUGACAUGCCAUAGUCAUCACAAGGUUUAGUUGAUGCAUUACCAUUUGUGUUGACAUUUCCAAAGCAUGUUUGCACCAUUUAUAUGUUUGUGUUCUGGUUGUAAAAUGUUAUCUUCUUUAUUGUUUUUUGAAAGCAUUCUUUUUUACUUAUUUAUUUAUUUUAAUUAUGGCCUUUUUUGUCACAUUUUUUGUUAUUGUUUUCUCAGAAUCAAAAUGAGGUGUUCAAAACAAGGACAGUGCAAAUGUUUCUUUUCAGGAUUUAUAAUUUUGGGAUUUUUUCAUUCAGCUGCUUGUUCUUUUUUCAGUAGGCCUCAUCUGAAAUAGUAAAACACUAUUCCCUUGAGCCUCUUAUGAUCUUCGUACAGCAGGUAAAGCUUUUCAUUGGAUCAUUGACAACAAUUAGCCAGUUUAAAGAGUUUUAUCAAGCUUGCAAAUUGAGAGUACAAAAAAAGCUGUUGAUGGGAAGUUUCAUCCAUGUUCGAUCCACUGAAUGAGUACAACUUAGCUCACUGUUUUUUGAGAAUGAAUCUGCUUAAGGUGUGGUUCACAAAAUAAAGCUGGUUGAAUGGAUUUGAUGUCAUGCUCACAAAAAUAAAUGUGAAAAAUGUUGAACUGAUGUGGUCCUUUUAACCUGUGUGUGUGUGUGUGUGUGUGUGUGUGUGUGUGUGUGUGUGUGUAGAGAGAGAGAGAGAGAGAAAGAAUUAGGCUAGUUUAUAAUUAAAAUUACCAUUGAAAUGCAGUAAAAUUAAUAUUUAAUUGUAAUUCCAGUUUUUACUUAGGUUGUUUUAAACAUUAAGUAAAUUGAACCAAUAUUUAAAAACAGAUAGCAUCCUUGUUUUAAGUUACAUGUACCUAGCAUUACAGGAUUAUCUAUUUAACUUUUUUAUGUGGAUUCAAUUGUAGCUUACUGUUAUUUUUAUCAACAAUUUUAAUAGUAUUUACUCAAUUUUGCAUGUCACUGAAACAGCUUUAAUUGUUCAGGACAACUUAUUUCAUUUUAGUUAGAUUUACUUAAUUGAUAAGGUAUUUUAAAGAGAUUUGAUUGGGUUUACAUUUACUCAUUAGUUUAAGUGUAAAAAUGUUGCACCAAGAAAUUUAAGUAAAUGUCAGUUAUACUUUUUAGAGUGCACAGAGAUAGAAAGGAUUUGUAAGUGCAUAAUCAUAUUCCGACUUCAAGUCAAGCUGCACUUCCCUUCAAUAGUGUUCCAUUUCUGACAAACUAGACUUUCUUAAUAUUGUGUUCAAUUUUGAGAAGCUGCACUUUAGCUGCCCUUUCCUCCCAUAGUGUUCAUUUCCUCAGAAGCUGCAGUUGCUAUAAUGCUCCAUUUCUGACAAAUUAGACUUUUUUGUUAGUGUUCCUAACUACCUGCACUUUCCUCUGAUUGUGUUUCAUUGCUGAAUAGCUACAUUUUAAUUUGUUAUAGUGUUUCAAUUCAGACAAACUAGACGUUUUAACCCUCUGGAGGCAGGCAUUCCAGAUUUGCAAGGUAAAAACCUACUGUACCUACCUGGUUACUCCACAUACGCAUUUCAUGAGCAUUUUUCAACUCAGAAGUACCCCUGAAGGACUUAGUUGUUCGUCCUUUUAUCAAAACUUAUUUUGAGCCUGAGAGGGUUAAAUUUAGUGUUCCAAUUUUGAGAAGCUACACUUUCCUCUAAUAUGGUGUUCCAUUUCUGAGAAGCUACACUUUCCCCAGAAAGUGUUCCAUUUUAGACCAGAUGCACUUUCCUUUUGUUAGUUUAAUUUCUGACAAUCUACACUUUUUAAUAUAGUGUUUUAAUCUUGAGAAGUUGUACUUUCCUCUAAUAUAGUGUUCAGUUUCUGAGAAGAUGCAUUUUCCUCUAAUAUGGUGUUCCAUUUCUGACAUUUUUAGUGUUCUACUUUACCACAGCCUGUCAAAGUAAACAGGAAUGGCAUUUCAUGUUACCAG
rnacentral:lncRNA from 1 species